rnacentral:rRNA from 1 species
AUUGAACGCUGGCGGCAGGCCUAACACAUGCGAGUCGAAUGGUAACAGGAAACAGCUUGCUGUUUCGCUGACGAGUGGCGGACGGGUGAGUAAUGUCUGGGAAACUGCCUGAUGGAGGGGGAUAACUACUGGAAACGGUAGCUAAUACCGCAUAACGUCGCAAGACCAAAGAGGGGGACCUUCGGGCCUCUUGCCAUCAGAUGUGCCCAGAUGGGAUUAGCUAGUAGGUGGGGUAACGGCUCACCUAGGCGACGAUCCCUAGCUGGUCUGAGAGGAGGACCAGCCACACUGGAACUGGGACACGGUCCAGACUCCUACGGGAGGCAGCAGUGGGGAAUAUUGCACAAUGGGCGCAAGCCUGAUGCAGCCAUGCCGCGUGUAUGAAGAAGGCCUUCGGGUUGUAAAGUACUUUCAGCGGGGAGGAAGGGAGUAAAGUUAAUACCUUUGCUCAUUGACGUUACCCGCAGAAGAAGCACCGGCUAACUCCGUG